rnacentral:piRNA from 1 species
UAGAAGCAAGGCAGUCACUUCAAUUCUCU